CAAUAGCGUAUAUUAAAGUUGUUGCAGUUAAAAAGCUCGUAGUUGGAUUUCUGGGAGGGUGCCGCCGUCCGGCGUGUCCGUGUGCAGUGGCGCCCUUCCAUCCUUCUGUUAGCGUCUCUUGGCAUUCAUUUGCUGGUGGCGGGCUCAGAUAUUUUACCUUGAGAAAAUUAGAGUGUUUCAGGCAGGCUAGGCCGGAAUACAUUAGCAUGGAAUAAUGGAAUAGGACUACGGUCUCUUUGUUGGUUUGAGGGACUGCAGUAAUGAUUAAUAGGGAUAGUUGGGGGCAUUAGUAUUUAAUUGUCAGAGGUGGAAUUCUCAGAUUUGUUAAAGACUAACUUAUGCGAAAGCAUCUGCCAAGGAUGUUUUCAUUAA
rnacentral:rRNA from 1 species